rnacentral:tRNA from 1 species
GGAGGCUUAGCUCAGCUGGUUAGAGCACCUGCCUUACAAGCAGGGGGUCACUGGUUCGAGUCCAGUAGUCUCCA